CGCGCGCACACACACACACACACACACACACACACACAAACACACACACACACACACACACUCACUCACUCACUCUCUCACUCGAAGAAAUAUUUAUAUCGUGUUGCACAGGCGUGAAUAACGUAUUACAACGCCCUGUGGUUAUUCAUUGACUAGAGCAUAUACAGAAUUUAACUUAACACGCCAUCGUAUUAACCUCAGUACUUAAAUGAGGUGGAAUAAAUAUCUCACAAGCCAACGAAGUUGCGCAAUCCGCUAGAAAAACUUCCAAAUCUCUUUCAUACCACAUUUGACUGCCUGAAGCAACGAAAAGGUAUACACUGGCUAUACUCCUAGAUUUAUUCUCUAUGAAUUCUAUAUGUAUAGAUAACCAGAGAAAGUGUGAAAGUGAAAACAUGCAAUAGCCGUGGCAGGAAUGCUUCUAGUUAUAGAUCUGCUCGACGAGGAACUAAACUACAGAAACAGUUACGCAAUAUAUGUAGAUAUGUAAUAAAACAAAACCUGUCGAAAUUCUAGGCCAUCCCAUCACAAGCGUCCAUGACUUAAUAUUCAUUUUUUUUUUCAGAAUCGGAUUCUCCAUAGCCGAAAACCGUGGGAUUCCGUAAAAAAAAAAAGAUCAACAUAUAUCAACGACUAUUGAAAAGGUUGCAAGACGCAACGAAAAUUUUAGAAAAAUAAAAAAUAAAUAAGUGGAUAUUUUACCG